GAGUUUGAUCUUGGCUCAGGACGAACGCUGGCGGCGUGCCUAAUACAUGCAAGUCGAGCGAGAUUCUUCGGAAUCUAGCGGCGGACGGGUGAGUAACACGUGGGCAACCUGCCUGUAAGACUGGGAUAACACCGGGAAACCGGUGCUAAUACGGGAUAAUCCUUUUCCUCUCAUGAGGAAAAGCUGAAAGUCGGUUUCGGCUGACACUUACAGAUGGGCCCGCGGCGCAUUAGCUAGUUGGUGAGGUAACGGCUCACCAAGGCGACGAUGCGUAGCCGACCUGAGAGGGUGAUCGGCCACACUGGGACUGAGACACGGCCCAGACUCCUACGGGAGGCAGCAGUAGGGAAUCUUCCACAAUGGACGAAAGUCUGAUGGAGCAACGCCGCGUGAGCGAUGAAGGCCUUCGGUCGUAAAGCUCUGUUGUUAGGGAAGAACAAGUAUCGGAGUAACUGCCGGUACCUUGACGGUACCUAACCA
rnacentral:rRNA from 1 species